rnacentral:rRNA from 1 species
UACGGAGGGUGCGAGCGUUGUCCGGAACCACUGGGCGUAAAGGGCGCGUAGGCGGCGCGGGAAGUCAUCGGUGAAAGUUCAGGGCUCAACUCUGAAUCGGCCGGUGAUACUCUCGUGCUUGAGCACUGUAGAGGCAGGUGGAAUUCCGGGUGUAGCGGUGGAAUGCGUAGAGAUCCGGAGGAACACCGAUGGCGAAGGCAGCUCGCUGGGACGGUACUGACGCUGAGGCGCGAAAGCGUGGGGAGCAAACAGG